rnacentral:rRNA from 1 species
CAGUCGCCGCGGUAAUACGUAGGUGGCAAGCGUUGUCCGGAAUUAUUGGGCGUAAAGGGCUCGCAGGCGGUUUCUUAAGUCUGAUGUGAAAGCCCCCGGCUCAACCGGGGAGGGUCAUUGGAAACUGGGAAACUUGAGUGCAGAAGAGGAGAGUGGAAUUCCACGUGUAGCGGUGAAAUGCGUAGAGAUGUGGAGGAACACCAGUGGCGAAGGCGACUCUCUGGUCUGUAACUGACGCUGAGGAGCGAAAGCGUGGGGAGCGAACAGGAUUAGAGACCCGAGUAGUCCCUGUCUCUUAUAC